ACUCUCGGCAACGGAUAUCUCGGCUCUCGUGAUCGAUGAAGAACGAAAUAAAUGCGAUACUUGGUGUGAAUUGCAGAAUCCCGUGAACCAUCGAAGUCUUUGAACGCAAGUUGCGCCCCAAGCCUUCGGCCGAGGGCACGCCUGCCUGGUGUCAUAAAUCGUCGUCCUCCCAUCCUCUCGAGGAUAUCGGACGGAAGCUGGUCUCCCCGUGUUACCGCACACGCGGUUGGCCAAAAUCCGAGCUAAGGAUGCCAGGAGCGCCUUGACACGCGGUGGUGAAUUCAAUUUCGUCAAAUCGUCGGUCGUUUUCGGUCCGAAGCUCUUGAUAACCCAAAGUCCUCAACGCGACCCCAGGUCAGGCGGGAUCACCCGCUGAGUUUAAGCAUAUCAAUAAGCCGGAGGAAAAGAAACUAACAAGGAUUCCCUUAGUAACGGCGAGCUUAAACGGGAAGAGCCCAGCUUUGAAAAUCGGACGCCUUCGGCGCUCAAUUGUAGUCCGAGAAGCGCCCCUCAGCGACGGACCGGCCCAAGUUCCCUGGAAAGGGGGCCAGAGAGGGUGAGAGCCCCGUCGUGCCCGGACCCUGUCGCACCAAUGGCGCUGUCUACGAAGUCAGGUUGUUUGGGAAUGCAGCCCCAAUCAAGGCGGUAAAUUCCGUCCCAAGGCUAAAUAUGGGCGAGACCGAGCCGAACAAGUACCGCGAGGUAAAGAUGAAAAGGACUUUGAAAAGAGAGUCAAAGAGUGCUUGAAAUUGUCGGAGGGAAGCGGAUGGGGGCCGGCGAUGCGUCCCCGGCCGGAUGCGAACGGAGCAAUCCGUCCGCCCGAUCGAUUCGGGGUGGACCGACGCGGAUUAAGGUGGUGACCUAAGCCCGGCUUUUGUUACGCCAGCGGAGACGCCGCUGCCUUAAUCGUGGUCCGCAGCACGCGCCCACGCGGCGUGUCUCGGCAUCCGCGCGUUCGCGUCGGCCUGGGGUUCUAUUCGACCCGCCUUGAAACACGGACCAAGGAGUCUGACAUGUAAUGCGAAGUCAACGGGUGAGUAAACCCGUAAGGCAUAAGGAAGCUGAUUGGCUGGAUCCCUCACGGUGCACAGCCGACCGACCUUGAUUUUCCGAGAAGGGUUCGAGUGUGAGCAUGACUGCCGGGACCCGAAAGAUGGUGAACUAUGCCUGAGCGGGCUAAGCCAGAGGAAACUCUGGUGGAGGCCCGCAGCGAUACCGACGCGGCAAAUCGUUCGUCUGACUUGGGUAUAGCUUAAAGACUAAUCGAACCAUCUAGUAGCUGGUUCCUCGAAGUUUCCCUCGGGAUAGCUGGAGCUCGGAAACGAAGUUCUAUCGGGUAAAGCCAAUGAUUAGAGGUAUCGGGGACGCAACGCCCUCGACCUAUUCUCAAACUUUAAAUAGGUAGGACGGGUGGCUGCUUUGUUGAGCCAUCCCACGGAAUCGAGAGCUCCAAGUGGGCCAUUUUUGGUAAGCAGAACUGGCGAUCGCGGGAUGAACCGAAGCCGGGUUCGGUGCCCAACUGCGCUGGCUAACCUAGAACCCACAAAGGGUGUUGGUCGAUUAAGACAGCAGGACGGUGGUCAUGGAAGUCGAAAUCCGCUAAGGAGUGUGUAACAACUCACCCGAAUCAACUAGCCCCGAAAAUGGAUGGCUGAAGCGCGACCUAUACCGGCCGUCGGGCAAAGAGCCAGGCCUCGAUGAGUAGGAGGGAUGGCGGCGGUCGCUGCAAAACCUAGGGCGCGAGCCCGGGCGGAGCAGCCGUCGGUGCAGAUCUUGGUGGUAGUAGCAAAUAUUCAAAUGAGUGUUAUGAACAUUGUGGAUUGCCAUUAACCAAGACAAGAAGAGAUGGCCCAUCAGGGCACGACCAGGCCCAGCCACGACCAGGCCCAACCAUAACCGUCCGUGUCCAAGAGGAGAGAGAGACGACGGCUGAGGAGAGAGAGUCGGCCUAUCCUUUGGCCGACCUUAGAUCUAGGAAGUUUCCAUUUAUCUCUUAUGAUUAUCUUUAAGAAGUUUUCCUAUUUCAUGUUGUAUUAGGUUUUGGAUAAUUUCCUUUUUCCUAUUCCUUGUAAUCCCUAUAUAAGGGAACACUUUGAUUGAGUAAUAAGAAUACAGAGACACACGAAAUAUUCAGCCUCAAAACCCUUUGUUCACAACACGUUAUCAGCACGAUAGUCUCUAGACCCUGAGACAAAACCCUAACCUAAAAUCCGUCACACAUAAACCCUAAAUCAGGCGGAACUUCAAAUCGAUGUAUCUCUCCAACCCCGAAGAUCCAGAAGACGAGCCACAUAUCAAAUUGAAGCUCUGGACGAGACGAAUCUAUCUGAGAAAACCGGUCGUCAUUCCGAUCUCAGACGCGCCCACACUCGCAGAAACAACAGACGGCGCCGACUUAGUUCUUUGGAAACCCUAAUCCGAACCAACAAGUUUUUCUAGCAAAUUUCAAAUCCUAUGAAAGAUAAGUUUGUCAUACCUCAGUUAUUUGAUGAUACCUUGUUUAGAUUAUGAUGUUUCAUGGAAUCUAAUACCCCUUUGUUUAAUUGUUUCAUGAGCUGAAGAGGAGUUAGUUCGAAGAACCCUAACCUGUUCUUGCUUGAGUUCUGGCUUGCAUACAUCCGAUCAGAUACAGCCCUAAGGUGUUCCUGAUCUCAGACGUCCUCAGCUCCCUGUUCAAAACAAGGCCAGUCCACGUUCCAAGUGAGACAGCUCGCGAUC
rnacentral:rRNA from 1 species